GCCGGGCAUGGUAGCUCAUGCCUGUAAUCCCAGCACUUUGGGAGGCCGAGGCGGGUGGAUCACCUGAGGUCGGGAGUUUGAGACCAGCCUGGCCAACAUGGUGAAACCCCGUCUCUA
rnacentral:sRNA from 1 species